rfam:Rhodococcus sp. MTM3W5.2, complete genome.
AGCGUCAUACAAGUGGGCCGAGGGUCGACUCCGAUGACGUAGGGGCACAGCCCUGCCCGGAGAGCGGCAC